rnacentral:tRNA from 2 species
GCCGAUGUAGCUCAGCUGGUUAGAGCAACAGUUUUGUAAACUGUAGGUCGUCGGUUCGAAUCCGACCAUCGGCUCCA